UUGCUUCAGGAGCACAUAUACUAAAAUUGGAAUGAUAACAGAGAAGGUUAUCAUGGCCCCUGCACAA
rnacentral:snRNA from 1 species